CUGUGCUGUUCACCUGUGCCUUCUGUCGAGCAAUCGCUGCUCAACGGAUUGUAACUCUGGACACCAGCAGAGAGAGGGCAGGUCUCUGGACUUCCAUGACAGUGCUCCCAUAUCCAUGGGUCCUCUGAUGUGGUCUGAAGGGAACACAGAUAAGUGGGUCCCAGAUCAAGUGAAGGCAUCUGACGCUUCUUGUCUGUGUGCUUCUCUGAUGCUGUUACUUGCUGUUAUGAGUGUCAUGGCCCUCUUUUAGUUUAAC